rnacentral:rRNA from 1 species
UACGUAGGGUGCGAGCGUUAAUCGGAAUUACUGGGCGUAAAGCGUGCGCAGGCGGUUCGUUGUGUCGGUGGUGAAAUCCCCGGGCUUAACCUGGGAAUGGCCAUGGAAACUGGCGAACUGGAGUGCGGCAGAGGGGGGUGGAAUUCCGCGUGUAGCAGUGAAAUGCGUAGAGAUGCGGAGGAACACCGAUGGCGAAGGCAGUCCCCUGGGCCUGUACUGACGCUCAUGCACGAAAGCGUGGGGAGCAAACGGG